GGAUUGUAGGCUGCAACUCGCCUACAUGAAGUCGGAAUCGCUAGUAAUCGCGGAUCAGCAUGCCGCGGUGAAUACGUUCCCGGGCCUUGUACACACCGCCCGUCACACCAUGAGAGUUUGUAACACCCAAAGCCGGUGGGGUAACCUUUUGGAGCCAGCCGUCUAAGGUGGGACAGAUGAUUGGGGUGAAGUCGUAACAAGGUAGC
rnacentral:rRNA from 1 species